GAUCACUCUGCUCCAGGCUCGUGUUCAGAACAGCCAGAGCGCCAAAGGGAGAGGAAAGGCCAAGGGCAGAGUGAGAUAGAUGGAAACGUCGACAUAUAUCCUCAGAGGAGCCAUCUCACCACGAGUGCCCGUGUUGGAAUUCGUUCUUGAUCUGCACUUCAGUAAUCACAGUUUUGUGCCUUUUAGCCCUUAGCCUUUACAAACAAUAAACAGACUUGUGCUUUUA